rnacentral:rRNA from 1 species
UACGGGGGGGGCAAGCGUUGUUCGGAAUUACUGGGCGUAAAGGGCUCGUAGGUGGCCAACUAAGUCAUACGUGAAAUCCCUCGGCUUAACCGGGGAACUGCGCCUGAUACUGGUUGGCUUGAGUUUGGGAGAGGGACGCGGAAUUCCAGGUGUAGCGGUGAAAUGCGUAGAUAUCUGGAGGAACACCGGUGGCGAAGGCGGCAUCCUGGACCAACACUGACACUGAGGAGCGAAAGCCAGGGGAGCAAACGGG